UAGGUGGCUGAGAUAAAGCAUUAGACUUUUAAUCUAAUAACGGUAUGUUAGUACAAUACCUCUA
rnacentral:tRNA from 1 species